rnacentral:rRNA from 1 species
AUAUUGCACAAUGGGGGAAACCCUGAUGCAGCCAUGCCGCGUGUGUGAAGAAGGCCUUCGGGUUGUAAAGCACUUUCAGCGAGGAGGAAAGGUUGGCGCCUAAUACGUGUCAACUGUGACGUUACUCGCAGAAGAAGCACCGGCUAACUCCGUGCCAGCAGCCGCGGUAAUACGGAGGGUGCAAGCGUUAAUCGGAAUUACUGGGCGUAAAGCGCACGCAGGCGGUUGGAUAAGUUAGAUGUGAAAGCCCCGGGCUCAACCUGGGAAUUGCAUUUAAAACUGUCCAGCUAGAGUCUUGUAGAGGGGGGUAGAAUUCCAGGUGUAGCGGUGAAAUGCGUAGAGAUCUG